UACAGAGGGUGCUAGCGUUGUUCGGAAUCAUUGGGCGUAAAGGGCGUGUAGGCGGUUUGUUAAGUCAUGUGUGAAAUCCCUCGGCUCAACUGGGGAGGGUCACGCGAUACUGAUCGACUCGAAGGCAGGAGAGGGAAGUGGAAUUCCCGGUGUAGUGGUGAAAUGCGUAGAUAUCGGGAGGAACACCAGUGGCGAAGGCGACUUCCUGGCCUGUUCUUGACGCUGAGGCGCGAAAGCUAGGGGAGCAAACGGG
rnacentral:rRNA from 1 species